AUUAUCAAACUUCUUUAUAUUAACCUAUUGUCUGAUGAGGCUAUAUGCCGUAAUAUGUAAAUAUGUUAAAACUUUCAACAACGGAUCUCUUGGCUCUCGUAUCGAUGAAGAACGCAGCGAAAUGCGAUAAGUAAUGUGAAUUGCAGAAUUCAGUGAAUCAUCGAAUCUUUGAACGCACAUUGCGCCCUUUGGUAUUCCUUAGGGCAUGCCUGUUCGAGCGUCAUAAACAAUCUGAUCACCAUAUGUGUGGUAUUGGCAGAAGUGGAUAUAGUCAAGAGUAUUAGACUCCACUCUGCUGGAAUGAAUAGGCUGGAAAAGUAGAUCAUGGCAAUAGACUUUCAGAGUAUUUUAGAAUGCUAAAUUAGUUUGGAGCUGAUCACAACCCAGGCCAGUUGACCCUCAUCCUGUGUAAAGCAGUAAGAAUGACCUCGGAUCAGGUAGGGAUACCCGCUGAACUUAAGCAUAUCAAUAGNNGGAGGAA
rnacentral:rRNA from 1 species